UUUAUAUUUGUGCUACUUUCGGACACUGUACAAAAGACACUUGUUUUUCGAAAAGUCUGUGUUUAAUAGUAUGACAAUGCCAGAAUAACCAAACGUAUGGAGGUUUUAGAUUAUUUAUUUCAAUUAUGUAUUUAUGAAAAACAUAAAAUAAUUUAAUUUUCAGGGACUGCUGAUCUUCAUAUUUCACUGCGUGAUGGACAAAAAGAUAAAAGAUGCGUUUUCAAAACAGAGACACAAGUGGCUUCAAUCGACGCAGAGUUUCGGACUUUCUGAAGGAAAGAAAAGCAAAACAUAAGACUCUUCCGUUUUGUGAAAGCCAAGAAGAAUCAGUUCAUCGAUGGAGUAUUUCAAAAUGUGAUUUGUCGGACAGUUUUAUAUCUAAAACAGCACUUUGUCAUUUAAAGCUUCCUGUACAUCGUGAUCAACCGAUAACGUACUUCAAUAUUUGUACUUAGCUAACCACGGUUAUAUCACCCGUAUUUUAGAUUUUUGAAAUUUUCA